AGCAAUCGAACAAAUUUUCUUUUUAGGGAAAUAUAUGUUUACAUGUACAAAAUAUUACACUUUUAUUACAGUCAGGAAGAAAAAUUGAGUUUAAGUUUGUACUUUUUGCAGCUACCGCCGUUGAAACUCAUUUGUUACUCUCGGGAUUUUUAUAUAUUAUAUUUUACAGAAAUCUGGUGUAAAACAAUGGCUUUGACAGCAGCAGUGCUUAUAUUAUUAUUUUGUCAGCUUGGUGUCUCCUCACAGACAUGUAAAGAAUGUGAAUGUUGCGAAGAAGGCAAAUGUGGUAGAAAAAAAGUACUGUAUCUACGGUUGUCUAGCAGGAUAUUGGGGUGAUAACUGUACAAAUUCAUGUCCAAAGAACUGUAAAACAUGCACAAAUGGCACACAAUGCAACGAAUGCCAGACUGGGUUUUGGGGAACACAGUGUACAUCAAAAUGUGGGAAUGGUUGUGUUAACAACACGUGUUCACUGUUAGGGCAAUGCUCUUGUAAGUCACAAGCGUUUGCA